UUGGGCGUAAAGCGCUCGCAGGCGGUUUCUUAAGUCUGAUGUGAAAGCCCCCGGCUCAACCGGGGAGGGUCAUUGGAAACUGGGGAACUUGAGUGCAGAAGAGGAGAGUGGAAUUCCACGUGUAGCGGUGAAAUGCGUAGAGAUGUGGAGGAACACCAGUGGCGAAGGCGACUCUCUGGUCUGUAACUGACGCUGAGGCGCGAAAGCGUGGGGAGCGAACAUUAUUAGAUACCCUGGUAGUCCACGCCGU
rnacentral:rRNA from 1 species